rnacentral:rRNA from 1 species
GACGAACGCUGGCGGCGUGCCUAAUACAUGCAAGUAGAACGCUGAAGAGAGGAGCUUGCUCUUCUUGGAUGAGUUGCGAACGGGUGAGUAACGCGUAGGUAACCUGCCUUGUAGCGGGGGAUAACUAUUGGAAACGAUAGCUAAUACCGCAUAACAAUGGAUGACACAUGUCAUUUAUUUGAAAGGGGCAAUUGCUCCACUACAAGAUGGACCUGCGUUGUAUUAGCUAGUAGGUGAGGUAAUGGCUCACCUAGGCGACGAUACAUAGCCGACCUGAGAGGGUGAUCGGCCACACUGGGACUGAGACACGGCCCAGACUCCUACGGGAGGCAGCAGUAGGGAAUCUUCGGCAAUGGGGGCAACCCUGACCGAGCAACGCCGCGUGGGUGAAGAAGGGUUUCGGAUCGUAAAGCUCUGUUGUAAGUCAAGAACGGGUGUGAGAGUGGAAAGUUCACACUGUGACGGUAGCUUACCAGAAAGGGACGGCUAACUACGUG